AGGAGUGUAGAUCAAUUGGUAGAGCACCGGUCUCCAAAACCGGGGGUUGGGGGUUCGAGUCCCUUCGCUCCUGCCA
rnacentral:tRNA from 2 species